rnacentral:rRNA from 1 species
AUUGAACGCUGGCGGCAGGCCUAACACAUGCAAGUCGAGCGGAGCGGCGGACGGGUGAGUAAUGCCUAGGAAUCUGCCUGGUAGUGGGGGAUAACGUCCGGAAACGGGCGCUAAUACCGCAUACUAUCAGAUGAGCCUAGGUCGGAUUAGCUAGUUGGUGGGGUAAUGGCCCACCAAGGCGACGAUCCGUAACUGGUCUGAGAGGAUGAUCAGUCACACUGGAACGGAGACACGGUCCAGACUCCUACGGGAGGCAGCAGUGGGGAAUAUUGGACAAGGGGCGAAAGCCUGAUCCAGCCAUGCCGCGUGUGUGAAGAAGGUCUUCGGAUUGUAAAGCACUUUAAGUUGGGAGGCGUUACCAACAGAAUAAGCACCGGCUAACUCUGUGCCAGCAGCCGCGGUAAUUC